rnacentral:lncRNA from 1 species
CGUCUUCCUCCUGACAAGUGUGGAGAACCACUGCUUUAGAUCAGAUGAUAGUUCUCCACAAUCCACCGGUACAGCCACAUCCGUGGGUUAAUUUGAUGUCACCCUGCCACCGUCGGAGAAGGGAGAUCGGGCGCUUUGAGGGCCCAGUGGCGUGGACACAGUUCAGAUUUCACCCCAGCCCAUGUGACCUCGUUCUGGGACAAUCGCCGCAGCUUGGGUUCCUGAGAGGACCCAGAAUGAUCAUCACGUCUGGCCAAACAGGGCGGGCCGCUGGAGAACCCUUCUGGUGCCACCCGUCUCACGACUGGGUCAGGCGGAGGAGAUUCCGGAGCAGGAGCCAGCACGUAUGGGGACGAGGGACACGCCGCACACUUCAUAAAACAAGGGAAAACAACCUCUGGCGUUGGGAUGGCAGGGUCUUUAUGUCUUUGUUCAUGCAAUGUUGUCUUUUUUUUGGUGAUGAUCUCAGUCCCGUCCGCGUACUGAGUGUACAAAUCGGGAGAAAGUGA